AUUGAACGCUGGCGGCAGGCUUAACACAUGCAAGUCGAGCGAGCGGCGGACGGGUGAGUAAUGUCUGGGACACUGCCUGAUGGAGGGGGAUAACUACUGGAAACGGUAGCUAAUACCGCAUACCAUCAGAUGUGCCCAGAUGGGAUUAGCUCGUAGGUGGGGUAAUGGCUCACCUAGGCGACGAUCCCUAGCUGGUCUGAGAGGAUGACCAGCCACACGGGAACUGAGACACGGUCCAGACUCCUACGGGAGGCAGCAGUUGGGAAUAUUGCACAAUGGGCGCAAGCCUGAUGCAGCCAUGCCGCGUGUAUGAAGAAGGCCUUCGGGUUGUAAAGUACUUUCAGCGGGGAGGCGUUACCCGCAGAAGAAACACCGGCUAACUCCGUGCCAGCAGCCGCGGUAAUAC
rnacentral:rRNA from 1 species